rnacentral:rRNA from 1 species
GACGAACGCUGGCGGCGUGCCUAACACAUGCAAGUCGAACGAAGUGGCGAACGGGUGAGUAACGCGUAAUCAACCUGCUCUUCAGAGGGGGAAAACAGUUGGAAACGACUGAUAAUAUCGCAUUCUGAAGGAGGGGUUUGCGUCUGAUUUGGUAGUUGGAGGGGUAACGGCCCACCAAGGCGAUGAUCAGUAGGCGGUCUGGAAGGAUGAACAGCCACAUUGGGGCUGAGACACGGCCGCGACUCCUACGGGAGGCAGCCGUGAGGGAUCUGCCGCAAUGGACGAAAGUCUGACGGAGCAACGCCGGGGGAGUGAUAACGGCUUUCGGGUUGUAAAACUCGGUUAGUCGGAGAGCGGGAUCGGAAUAGAAAGCCACGGCUAACUACGUGCCAGCAGCCGCGGUAAUAC